rnacentral:rRNA from 1 species
UGAAUACGAGAUGCUACGGCAUUGAAGCAGUGUAUGUCAGACUUCCAAGAAAAGCUCGCAAUGUCAUAAACAAUAAAUGCCUGUACCAUAACCGACACAGGUGGGUAGGUAGAGUAUACUAAGGGGCGCGAGAUAACUCUCUCUAAGGAACUCGGCAAAAUGACUCCGUAACUUCGGGAGAAGGAGUGCCUUAUUUUAUAAGGUUGCAAUAACAAGAUCCAAGCAACUGUUUACCAAAAACACAGGUCUCCGCUAAGUCGAAAGACGAUGUAUGGGGGCUGACGCCUGCCCAGUGCCAGAAGGUUAAAGAAGUUGGUUAGCUUCGGCGAAGCUGAUGACUGAAGCCCUGGUGAACGGCGGCCGUAACUAUAACGGUCCUAAGGUAGCGAAAUUCCUUGUCGGGUAAGUUCCGACCCGCACGAAAGGCGUAAUGAUUUGGAUACUGUCUCGGAGAGGGGCUCGGUGAAAUAGACUUGUCUGUGAAGAUGCGGACUACCUGCACCUGGACAGAAAGACCCUAUGAAGCUUUACUGUAACUUGAGAUUGAAAUUGGACUUUAUUUGCGCAGUAUAGGUGGGAGACGUUGAGAAUAUUCUUGCGGGAAUAUUGGAGUCAUCAGUGAGAUACCACUCUUGUAAUGUUAGAUUUCUAACUUUGUAUCAUUAUCUGGUCAAAGGACAGUUUCAGGCGGGCAGUUUGACUGGGGCGGUCGCCUCCUAAACGGUAACGGAGGCGCACAAAGGUUUCCUCUGAACGUGUAGAAAUCGUAUCUAGAGUGUAAAGGCAUAAGGAAGCUUGACUGUGAGACCUACAAGUCGAGCAGGGACGAAAGUCGGUCUUAGUGAUCUGACGGUGCUGAGUGGAAAGGCCGUCACUCAACGGAUAAAAGUUACUCUAGGAUAACAGGCUGAUCUCCCCCAAGAGUUCACAUCGACGGGGAGGUUUGGCACCUCGAUGUCGGCUCAUCGCAUCCUGGGGCGGUAGUACGUCCCAAGGGUUGGGCUGUUCGCCCAUGAAAGCGGUACGCGAGCUGGGUUCAGAACGUCGUGAGACAGUUCGGUCCAUAUCCGGUGUAGGCGUUAGAAUAUUGAGAGGAGCCUUCUUUAGUACGAGAGGACCGAGAAGGACAUACCUCUGGUGUACCAGUUAUCGUGCCAACGGUAAACGCUGGGUAGCUAUGUAUGGAGUGGAUAACCGCUGAAAGCAUCUAAGUGGGAAGCCCACCUCAAGAUAAGUAUUCUCAU